UCUUAGGCAUUUUAUGAAAAGUCUGGUGCCACCGAAGCAGUGGAUGAUGGUAACAACAAUAAAUUAAUUGUUGCUAUAACAUCUGAUCGUGGUCUUUGUGGCGCAGUCCACACAAACGUUGCAAAAACCAUUCGUAACGAAUCGGGUGCAGAAGCUGUUGAGUCUCCUCAAUCAAAAGUAUUCUGUGUGGGUGACAAGUCUCGUGCACUUUUGCAUGCAGAGUUUCAGACGCCCCUUCACCACAUCGCAAAAUGUUCCGAAUUAAAAAUAGAGUUUUUGGAGUAUGCAGGUGCUCCGGGAACUCUAUAUAUUCUUCCUGUUGAAAUCAAUAAUGCCAGCGAAAAUCCCACUUUCCAAAAGUGUUUAGAACAUUUUAAAUUAUCGCCAAGCUUAAUAGAGAACGGGAAAUGGGCGUCUGUUAGAAAAGGAGAAGUUGCGAAAACAAAUAAUUGUUUUGUAAUUUGGGCCCUUUCUACAAACGAUAUAAAUCUCUUUUAGAUUUUGGAAACCCAAAUUAACGAAACAAGGAACAUGUUCCCUAAUUCAUUAAUUUGGGCAUUUCCAAAAUCAGAAAUGUCGAAAUAUGUAUCAUUUGUGUCGUUAGUACGAUCACUGUUAGCUGAUAAUGUACCACAGCGAUAUAAACUACUAGUAUGCGACACCCUCAUAUUUUAUAAACUGUCGAAGAUCGAUGGCAACCACCGCGUCGGCAGUAGGGAAAUGGCCUAGAGGCAGGGCACAUCACCGGCCCUCGCCCAUAUUACAGAACACGCCUGGCAGUGGCCAAGUCGGGCUUAUAAGUGGUCGUGGCGGUGUAAUGCGUGGUCGCACUGGUCGCAGUGAAAUUUAUGGACGUGAUGGACGUGGAGGGCACACAUCCACACCGUCCACGACCAUUUUCAUAGAGGUGUUUAAAUCUAUUGUUUCUGGGAUCGUCUCAGUUGUUCAAAUGGCUCAGGCUGCCCAACCGCAAACUACAGACACGUUCGAUAAUGGGGCUCAAAAUGUUUUUUGGGGUCGUGGACGAGGACGUGGACGGGGACGGCCACCAGUUAUGUGCCACAAUUGCAGGGCAUUUGGCCAUACGAGAAAGUACUGCCCUAACAAUUUUGUAGUUUCAAAUUAACAAGAAAAUAACGAAUUUCUCCUAACCUUCUGGUAGUCAUUAGCGGCAUUGGCCGGCAGCAGGGAUAACCGAAAAGCAUUUUAUGAAAAGUCUGGUGCCACCGAAGCAGUGGAUGAUGGUAACAACAAUAAAUUAAUUGUUGCUAUAACAUCUGAUCGUGGUCUUUGUGGCGCAGUCCACACAAACGUUGCAAAAACCAUUCGUAACGAAUCGGGUGCAGAAGCUGUUGAGUCUCCUCAAUCAAAAGUAUUCUGUGUGGGUGACAAGUCUCGUGCACUUUUGCAUGCAGAGUUUCAGACGCCCCUUCACCACAUCGCAAAAUGUUCCGAAUUAAAAAUAGAGUUUUUGGAGUAUGCAGGUGCUCCGGGAACUCUAUAUAUUCUUCCUGUAGAAAUCAAUAAUGCAAGCGAAAAUCCCACUUUCCAAAAGUGUUUAGAACAUUUUAAAUUAUCGCCAAGCUUAAUAGAGAACGGGAAAUGGGCGUCUGUUAGAAAAGGAGAAGUUGCGAAAACAAAUAAUUGUUUUGUAAUUUGGGCCCUUUCUACAAACGAUAUAAAUCUCUUUUAGAUUUUGGAAACCCAAAUUAACGAAACAAGGAACAUGUUCCCUAAUUCAUUAAUUUGGGCAUUUCCAAAAUCAGAAAUGUCGAAAUAUGUAUCAUUUGUGUCGUUAGUACGAUCACUGUUAGCUGAUAAUGUACCACAGCGAUAUAAACUACUAGUAUGCGACACCCUCAUAUUUUAUAAACUGUCGAAGAUCGAUGGCAACCACCGCGUCGGCAGUAGGGAAAUGGCCUAGAGGCAGGGCACAUCACCGGCCCUCGCCCAUAUUACAGAACACGCCUGGCAGUGGCCAAGUCGGGCUUAUAAGUGGUCGUGGGGGUGUAAUGCGUGGUCGCACUGGUCGCAGUGAAAUUUAUGGACGUGAUGGACGUGGAGGGCACACAUCCACACCGUCCACGACCAUUUUCAUAGAGGUGUUUAAAUCUAUUGUUUCUGGGAUCGUCUCAGUUGUUCAAAUGGCUCAGGCUGCCCAACCGCAAACUACAGACACGUUCGAUAAUGGGGCUCAAAAUGUUUUUUGGGGUCGUGGACGAGGACGUGGACGGGGACGGCCACCAGUUAUGUGCCACAAUUGCAGGGCAUUUGGCCAUACGAGAAAGUACUGCCCUAACAAUUUUGUAGUUUCAAAUUAACAAGAAAAUAACGAAUUUCUCCUAACCUUCUGGUAGUCAUUAGCGGCAUUGGCCGGCAGCAGGGAUAACCGAAAAGCAUUUUAUGAAAAGUCUGGUGCCACCGAAGCAGUGGAUGAUGGUAACAACAAUAAAUUAAUUGUUGCUAUAACAUCUGAUCGUGGUCUUUGUGGCGCAGUCCACACAAACGUUGCAAAAACCAUUCGUAACGAAUCGGGUGCAGAAGCUGUUGAGUCUCCUCAAUCAAAAGUAUUCUGUGUGGGUGACAAGUCUCGUGCACUUUUGCAUGCAGAGUUUCAGACGCCCCUUCACCACAUCGCAAAAUGUUCCGAAUUAAAAAUAGAGUUUUUGGAGUAUGCAGGUGCUCCGGGAACUCUAUAUAUUCUUCCUGUAGAAAUCAAUAAUGCCAGCGAAAAUCCCACUUUCCAAAAGUGUUUAGAACAUUUUAAAUUAUCGCCAAGCUUAAUAGAGAACGGGAAAUGGGCGUCUGUUAGAAAAGGAGAAGUUGCGAAAACAAAUAAUUGUUUUGUAAUUUGGGCCCUUUCUACAAACGAUAUAAAUCUCUUUUAGAUUUUGGAAACCCAAAUUAACGAAACAAGGAACAUGUUCCCUAAUUCAUUAAUUUGGGCAUUUCCAAAAUCAGAAAUGUCGAAAUAUGUAUCAUUUGUGUCGUUAGUACGAUCACUGUUAGCUGAUAAUGUACCACAGCGAUAUAAACUACUAGUAUGCGACACCCUCAUAUUUUAUAAACUGUCGAAGAUCGAUGGCAACCACCGCGUCGGCAGUAGGGAAAUGGCCUAGAGGCAGGGCACAUCACCGGCCCUCGCCCAUAUUACAGAACACGCCUGGCAGUGGCCAAGUCGGGCUUAUAAGUGGUCGUGGCGGUGUAAUGCGUGGUCGCACUGGUCGCAGUGAAAUUUAUGGACGUGAUGGACGUGGAGGGCACACAUCCACACCGUCCACGACCAUUUUCAUAGAGGUGUUUAAAUCUAUUGUUUCUGGGAUCGUCUCAGUUGUUCAAAUGGCUCAGGCUGCCCAACCGCAAACUACAGACACGUUCGAUAAUGGGGCUCAAAAUGUUUUUUGGGGUCGUGGACGAGGACGUGGACGGGGACGGCCACCAGUUAUGUGCCACAAUUGCAGGGCAUUUGGCCAUACGAGAAAGUACUGCCCUAACAAUUUUGUAGUUUCAAAUUAACAAGAAAAUAACGAAUUUCUCCUAACCUUCUGGUAGUCAUUAGCGGCAUUGGCCGGCAGCAGGGAUAACCGAAAAGCAUUUUAUGAAAAGUCUGGUGCCACCGAAGCAGUGGAUGAUGGUAACAACAAUAAAUUAAUUGUUGCUAUAACAUCUGAUCGUGGUCUUUGUGGCGCAGUCCACACAAACGUUGCAAAAACCAUUCGUAACGAAUCGGGUGCAGAAGCUGUUGAGUCUCCUCAAUCAAAAGUAUUCUGUGUGGGUGACAAGUCUCGUGCACUUUUGCAUGCAGAGUUUCAGACGCCCCUUCACCACAUCGCAAAAUGUUCCGAAUUAAAAAUAGAGUUUUUGGAGUAUGCAGGUGCUCCGGGAACUCUAUAUAUUCUUCCUGUAGAAAUCAAUAAUGCCAGCGAAAAUCCCACUUUCCAAAAGUGUUUAGAACAUUUUAAAUUAUCGCCAAGCUUAAUAGAGAACGGGAAAUGGGCGUCUGUUAGAAAAGGAGAAGUUGCGAAAACAAAUAAUUGUUUUGUAAUUUGGGCCCUUUCUACAAACGAUAUAAAUCUCUUUUAGAUUUUGGAAACCCAAAUUAACGAAACAAGGAACAUGUUCCCUAAUUCAUUAAUUUGGGCAUUUCCAAAAUCAGAAAUGUCGAAAUAUGUAUCAUUUGUGUCGUUAGUACGAUCACUGUUAGCUGAUAAUGUACCACAGCGAUAUAAACUACUAGUAUGCGACACCCUCAUAUUUUAUAAACUGUCGAAGAUCGAUGGCAACCACCGCGUCGGCAGUAGGGAAAUGGCCUAGAGGCAGGGCACAUCACCGGCCCUCGCCCAUAUUACAGAACACGCCUGGCAGUGGCCAAGUCGGGCUUAUAAGUGGUCGUGGCGGUGUAAUGCGUGGUCGCACUGGUCGCAGUGAAAUUUAUGGACGUGAUGGACGUGGAGGGCACACAUCCACACCGUCCACGACCAUUUUCAUAGAGGUGUUUAAAUCUAUUGUUUCUGGGAUCGUCUCAGUUGUUCAAAUGGCUCAGGCUGCCCAACCGCAAACUACAGACACGUUCGAUAAUGGGGCUCAAAAUGUUUUUUGGGGUCGUGGACGAGGACGUGGACGGGGACGGCCACCAGUUAUGUGCCACAAUUGCAGGGCAUUUGGCCAUACGAGAAAGUACUGCCCUAACAAUUUUGUAGUUUCAAAUUAACAAGAAAAUAACGAAUUUCUCCUAACCUUCUGGUAGUCAUUAUCGGCAUUGGCCGGCAGCAGGGAUAACCGAAAAGCAUUUUAUGAAAAGUCUGGUGCCACCGAAGCAGUGGAUGAUGGUAACAACAAUAAAUUAAUUGUUGCUAUAACAUCUGAUCGUGGUCUUUGUGGCGCAGUCCACACAAACGUUGCAAAAACCAUUCGUAACGAAUGGGGUGCAGAAGCUGUUGAGUCUCCUCAAUCAAAAGUAUUCUGUGUGGGUGACAAGUCUCGUGCACUUUUGCAUGCAGAGGUAUUACGAUAGAAUCAAAUAAUUAAAAUUUAAUAUUAAUCUGCUUUAUUUGUGUAUUACUAUUUGUACACAUUAUUGAUUUUAGUCAUACAAUUAUUUCUCACUUGACUUAAUGUAGAAUUACAUUUAUAAAUCAUAAGUCAUAUGAUUUUUAGCAUUUGGUAUAAAAAUAAAUUAUGUUGAUAGAGCUGACGAAAAU